rfam:Gossypium arboreum cultivar AKA8401 contig_52347_3, whole genome shotgun sequence.
UAUUAAAAAUUUCAUCCAAUUCUAUUGUUAAAAACUAACGUAGUUGAUAAAAUAAUCAGACAGUUACAUAUGGUCUCUCACGUGUACCUUAUUUUGAUGUAUAAAGAUUAGUUUUUAAUAGUAGAAAUGAAUGAAAUUUUUAACA